rnacentral:tRNA from 1 species
GUCCGGCUAGCUCAGUCAGUAGAGCAUAAGACUCUUAAUCUCAGGGUCGUGGGUCCAUGCCCCACGUUGGGGU